AACAGAGGGAAGCGAAACAGCGAUGUGGAGCGAAACCCGAAAAGCCAUCCCAGUUCGGAUUGCAGGCUGCAACCCGCCUGUAUGAAGUUGGAAUCGCUAGUAAUCGCGGAUCAGCAUGCCGCGGUGAAUACGUUCCCGGGCCUUGUACACACCGCCCGUCACGCCAUGGGAGCCGGGGGUACCUGAAGUGCGUAACCGCGAGGAGCGCCCUAGGGUAAAACUGGUGACUGGGGCUAAGUCGUAACAAGGUAUC
rnacentral:rRNA from 1 species